UUGAAUUUUCACGACAUCUUAUAUUUUGUAGUCCAAUGUCUUUAUGGUACUUGUUUCUAUAUUUAGAACAGUCGACGAAUCUCUCUCCGUUCAUCGUUGAUUUCGAAUAGCUCUUAACUCGAAUGUAGAGAAAGACCAGUCUGCAGCUAAACAGUAUUCGUAGCUAUGGAGUACAUAAUAUUAUUGUCAAUGCAAUGUCAGUGCCGUAUUGAUAUACAUUCAAAAUUAUUUUUUCUUAUUUAAAAACUCAUUUUUUAUUUUUUAUAUGCCGAAAAAUAAUGGAAUAUAAGAUUAAUAAUAAUAUAACAUUGCGUAGUAGUAUUGAUACUAUUACAAUCAUAAUACGUAUAAGUACGUCGUAUAUACGACUAUUAUGCCGUUCUCUCUCUCUCUUUUUGGCACGUAUUACAAGCCGCCUAGGUGCAAACAUCGCACGCGACCGUACUAUGUUCACGGUAUAGUAUAGUGUGCAGCUUUUGCGAAUCGUUUUGUGUACAUUGUGUUUCGCAGACGAGGGUCGGAAACGCAAGCGCAUCUGCGCGCGAUAAAGCGAGAGGGUUUUUGUCAUCCGAAAUGUAUUUAUGUACGAAAAAAAAAGGGGGACUUGCCGAUACGUGUGAUCGGAUACAAGGCGCGUACGCGUUUACACGCGUUGUACACGACGGCGGUGGAAUCGAUGAGCCCGAAGCGGACGAGGGCAGUGCGGCGGCGGCGGCGGCGGCGGCGAGCAAACGAAAACGCGUGCGUGUCGGUGACCCAGUCGGCGCGCCGAGAGGCCCGCCGGUAACGGCGAUGGAUAUCGUGGAGCGGCGAGAUGAGGACCUUUGCCGAAAACCGGAAAGCAUAUCGCGGGGAACGCAUACAUAUAUAUAUACGUAUAAAAUAAUGUUAUGUACAGUCGUAGGACUCUUCCGAGCGGCAGAUGCCGGGCGCCCGCAAGAACAUUAACUACCAUUCAGUCAUUAACAAUCAGCUGUUCGAGAGAUUUUGGCUUGUAUUCUGGGCUUCUCUUUUUAUACGUCGUUUCGAAACCCGUUUUUCUCAAAUCAUAGAAACAAAGGCGCAACAAAUAGAACUCCUGAAAGAAUAAACAUCCUUUUGCUUUUCAGAAAUGUUAUCUCGUCGAUAUUAACUUGAAAGCGUAACGCGACGUAUAAUAAAAUAACUGACUUGGGAAGUUCUAAUCGUGGCAUAUAAUACUUUACGUCGACUGUUGUCUGUUAUUUGAAAAGUCAAAACUUAUUUAUUUUUUCAUACCAUAAAAUAUAUUACGUAUUAAGGACACAAGUGAAUAUCAGCACAGAUAUAUCAUCCGCAAAGUACGACGGGUAAAGGUAAUCGAUCAUACAAUUUACGAUCUACAAAUGCGUUUAAUACGAAAACUUCUUUGAAACUUCGACGUAAAAUCAUUGUGUAUAGGUUAUAGUUAUUAUACUGCAGACUAGGUUGAGCGAGAAGAUGCUGACAGGUGAAAUUAUUUAAACUAAAUAAUAGAGAUAUUAAUAUCCAUAAAAUCAACUCUGUUAACUUAUAUCAUUAAUAUACAUUAUUAUAUAAAAUUAUUUAAAACUACAGUUGUACAUCGAUUUUAGUGAACCCUGCAGACUCAAAAAUCCAUACAUUUUUUCUAAAAAGUUUUCAUUUAAC